GGCCGAGCCGCGGCCCCGCCCGGCGGCAGCGCCAUCGCGCCCGGGCUGGAAGCGGCGGCAGCGCCCGCCCGCACAGCCCGGUGUAAUUAACAGGAAUUAGCCUUUCUUAAGGAGGGGAUUACGAAACUGCACUGUAAAACCCGUAUGAUACCGAGUGCGCCUGUUAGAGGCUAAACUGCUUAGAAAGCGUUUUCUGCGAGCCCGGCGGAGACGCGGCUGGGGCUGGAGGCCGUGCUGGGGCAGGCGAGGCUCUGGCUCGCCUACUGUUACAGCCGUCUUUCAGGAAACUAAUUAUACCAAAACCGGGAUGGAAUUAACAACAAACGUCUGCUCUCUUUGACAGAAUGAGGGACAAGACUCAGUUCUAAACUUCCCAUUAAAGGUGGUGUUUCAACAAGCCUCAAGAAAUUCUUAAUUCUUUAAACCAUCACCAAGUAUGGCAACACAACUUUUAUUUAACUAAGGGACUACUUUCAUAUCAUAUACAUUCAAAUCCAAGGGUACUUUUAUGUGCUGUAUAAAUACAAGAGUUGGGCUGAAAGUAAAUGCUGAAAUUAGGAUUAUGCCAGUUACAUGCACCCAAAAAACACUACACUGGGUAUCAGAUCUUUUUCUAACUGAUUUGCCUUUCCACUGGCAACAAAGACCCAGCCUCUAAAAGCACUUUUUUAGCAUCUUUUAAAGUUAGGAGAAGCUUACAAAAAACCCCAACUGUUUUGCCAGCUCACAGAAAGUAUCAAGAUAGCUCUUGGGUGGGAUAAUGAAGCACUUUCUUACUUCACCAUUGUCCUUUGUCAUCCAUUUGACAAUGGCUUUGUAUUUAUCAUCAAAUUAUUUCUGUAUAAGCCAUCUUUUACUAAGUAAAGUACAGAAGUUUGGCAUUGCCCUUCAGUCUCAAAUCUCUGCGAGUCCUACUUGGGAAGAUGUGUUUCCAUGUUACUUGUUUGGAAAUGAAUUUAAAAAGUGAAACUGAACAAAUGUACUUAAGUAAACCCAGCCUAAUAAAAUCACUGUGUUCUAGCUGUGGUUAGUGAAGCUGUAACAGUCACCUGCAGCAAACUGGAAAAUCAGGACCUUGGCAGGAACAGCAAGAACACAGUAAGAAUAAUAAAAAGAACAUAAGAAACACAAAAGAACAAAAAAGGGCAGACAGCACACAGUAAGGAAUUGCAGUUAAGACAGGAUGGAACUACAGAGGUGAGUCCUACUGCUCUGUCUAGACCCUAGAAUAGGAUUUUCAGGUUUGGAGUGUGCUUUUUUCCUGUUAAUCUAAGAAAAUUUGAGUACAAGGCUUUUGGUUUAGGGCCCAAAAGCAGGGUGACUGUGCCAGCAAACAGGAGAAAUGCCUUUUACCAGUAGGAUAAACUAAACUCACCAAGAUUUAUUUUGCUUUCUGAUGCCUGUCAUAGCUCUUCUUGCAAGCUGUUUUUUCCUAAUGACCCAGUGAAGAUUACCAAGGCAAAAGGCCAGUAUAUGUAUGAUGAGAAUGGGAGACAGUACCUUGACUGCAUCAACAACGUGGCUCACGUUGGACACUGUCACCCUGAUAUAGUAAAGGCAGCCCAUGAACAGAAUCAAUUGUUAAAUACAAAUUCUCGUUACCUUCAUGACAACUUGGUUGAUUAUGCAGAGAGACUUUCAAAAACACUACCUGAGAAAUUAUGCAUCUUCUAUUUUUUAAAUUCUGGAUCUGAAGCCAACGACCUUGCCCUGAGGUUGGCACGGCAGUACACAAAACAUGAGGAUGUUAUCGUUUUAGACCAUGCUUACCAUGGACAUCUGACAUCUUUGAUUGACAUAAGCCCAUAUAAAUUCAGAAAUCUAGAAGGACAAAAGGAAUGGGUCCACGUGGCUCCUGUUCCAGACACAUACAGAGGACUUUAUAGAGAAGACCAUGAAGAUUCAGUAACAGCCUAUGCUGAUGAAGUAAAAAAUAUUAUUGAGCAUGCACAUAAGAGAGGCAGAAAGAUUGCUGCAUUUUUUGUUGAAUCUCUACCAAGUGUUGGUGGUCAAAUCAUUCCCCCAGCAGGAUAUUUUCAGAAGGUUGCAGAGCAUGUGCACGAGGCAGGAGGUGUAUUUAUUGCUGAUGAAAUUCAAGUUGGCUUUGGCAGGGUUGGCCAGCACUUCUGGGCAUUCCAGCUUCAGGGAGAAGAUUUUAUACCUGAUAUUGUCACUAUGGGGAAGCCAAUAGGGAACGGGCACCCACUUGCUUGUGUAGCAACAACAAAAGAAAUUGCGGAAGCGUUUGCGGCCACAGGAGUAGAGUAUUUUAAUACAUUUGGUGGGAACCCUGUUUCAUGUGCCAUUGGAUUAGCUGUGUUAGAUGUAAUUGAGAAGGAACAGCUUCAGGCUCAUGCCACAGAGGUAGGCAACUUCUUGAUGAAGACACUCAAAGAGCAGCAAAUCAAGCAUCCCAUCAUUGGUGAUGUCAGGUAUCUGUGCCUUAUUUACAUUUUUAGCUGCUUUCUCUUUGGUUCAGUCAGUCCAAUAUAUGUUGUUUAGAGAAAUUAAUAAAAUUAUGUGUUUUCAGCAGAAAUAAAGAGCCUCCUGUACAAUUAAGUAAAACAAACCUGAGCUUAUCAGAAGUCUCAUAUACUUUGCCACUCUGGGCCACUACUUUUUAUCAGUUUAUUAGCUGCUAAAACUGUUGAACUGCUACUGUUCAAACUGCUGUUUGAACUCAAAGUUCAAGUGCAUAGGGUACAGAAGUGAUGAGCUAGAUGGAAAACAUGCUUAAUAUCCUGUCCUGCUCUACCAGUGUGAGCAGACAGAAGUCUAUUGCUACAUUUCUUCAGAACAGCAAAACUUUUUUUCUAACAGUAGCCAAACAUCAGGUAAUUCUCAUGCAGUAAUGGUCUAGUCUUCCCUCAUUUUUUUAGUUCACUUGUAGUUCCUUCCUCUGACACUGACUCUGGCAGACUGAGUGGUUUCAUUUCUUUUACAGAGGUUGUGGCUUAUUCAUUGGAGUGGACUUAGUCAAGGAUCAAGCAGAAAGGACUCCAGCCACAGCAGAAGCAGAGGAUCUAGUAACAAGACUUAAGGAAAAAUAUAUUCUACUGAGUACAGAUGGGCCAGGAAGAAAUGUGCUGAAAU